rnacentral:rRNA from 1 species
CCUACGGGGGGCAGCAGUAAGGAAUAUUGGUCAAUGGACGCAAGUCUGAACCAGCCAUGCCGCGUGGAGGAUGAAGGUCCUCUGGAUUGUAAACUUCUUUUAUUUGGGAAGAAACUCCCGAUUUCCAUCGGGAUUGACGGUACCAGUUGAAUAAGCACCGGCUAACUCCGUGCCAGCAGCCGCGGUAAUACGGAGGGUGCAAGCGUUAUCCGGAUUCACUGGGUCGUAGGUGUGCAUGGAUGGCCAGGUUGAAAUCUCCGGGCUUAACACGGAAACUGCCAUUGAUACUAUUGGUCUUGAAUACUCUGGAGGUGAGCGGAAUAUGUCAUGUAGCGGUGAAAUGCUUAGAUAUGACAUAGAACACCCAUUGCGAAGGCAGCUCACUACGGAAAUAUUGACGCUGAGGCACGAAAGCGUGGGGAUCAAACAGGAUUAGAUACCCCAGUAGUC